GUGAACGCUGGCGGCGUGCCUAAUACAUGCAAGUCGAACGGAGAUUAAGUAGCUUGCUAUUUAAUCUUAGUGGCGCACGGGUGAGUAAUAUAUAGCUAACUUGCCCAUUACUAAGGGACAACAGUUGGAAACGACUGCUAAUACCUUAUACUCCGUAUCUAUAUAAGUAGAUACGGGAAAGUGUUUCGGUAAUGGAUAGGGCUAUAUCGUAUCAGCUAGUUGGUAAGGUAAUGGCUUACCAAGGCUAUGACGCGUAACUGGUCUGAGAGGAUGAUCAGUCACACUGGAACUGAGACACGGUCCAGACUCCUACGGGAGGCAGCAGUAGGGAAUAUUGCUCAAUGGGGGAAACCCUGAAGCAGCAACGCCGCGUGGAGGAUGACACUUUUCGGAGCGUAAACUCCUUUUCUUGGGAAAGAAUUAUGACGGUACCCAAGGAAUAAGCACCGGCUAACUCCGUG
rnacentral:rRNA from 1 species